AUGAACGCUGGCGGCGUGCCUAAUACAUGCCAGUCGCGCGAACAGACGAGGAGCUUGCUCCUCUGACGUUAGCGGCGGACGGGUGAGUAACACGUGGAUAACCUACCUAUAAGACUGGGAUAACUUCGGGAAACCGGAGCUAAUACCGGAUAAUAUAUUGAACCGCAUGGUUCAAUAGUGAAAGACGGUUUUGCUGUCACUUAUAGAUGGAUCCGCGCCGCAUUAGCUAGUUGGUAAGGUAACGGCUUACCAAGGCAACGAUGCGUAGCCGACCUGAGAGGGUGAUCGGCCACACUGGAACUGAGACACGGUCCAGACUCCUACGGGAGGCAGCAGUAGGGAAUCUGCCGCAAUGGGCGAAAGCUUGACGGAGCAACGCCGCGUGAGUGAUGAAGGUCUUCGGAUCGUAAAACUCUGUUAUUAGGGAAGAACAAAUGUGUAAGUAACUAUGCACGUCUUGACGGUACCUAAUCAGAAAGCCACGGCUAACUACGU
rnacentral:rRNA from 1 species